AUGCCGGCCGGGGGUAUUGCCUUAGUUACGGCGAGUGAGCGGCAAAAGCUCAAAUUUGAAAUCUGGUACCUUCGGUGCCCGAGUUGUAAUUUGGAGAGGGCAACUUUGGGGCCGUUCCUUGUCUAUGUUCCUUGGAACAGGACGUCAUAGAGGGUGAGAAUCCCGUGUGGCGAGGAGUGCGGUUCUUUGUAAAGUGCCUUCGAAGAGUCGAGUUGUUUGGGAAUGCAGCUCUAAGUGGGUGGUAAAUUCCAUCUAAAGCUAAAUAUUGGCGAGAGACCGAUAGCGAACAAGUACAGUGAUGGAAAGAUGAAAAGAACUUUGAAAAGAGAGUGAAAAAGUACGUGAAAUUGUUGAAAGGGAAGGGCAUUUGAUCAGACAUGGUGUUUUGUGCCCUCUGCUCCUUGUGGGUAGGGGAAUCUCGCAUUUCACUGGGCCAGCAUCAGUUUUGGUGGCAGGAUAAAUCCAUAGGAAUGUAGCUUGCCUCGGUAAGUAUUAUAGCCUGUGGGAAUACUGCCAGCUGGGACUGAGGACUGCGACGUAAGUCAAGGAUGCUGGCAUAAUGGUUAUAUGCCGCCCGUCUUGAACCACGGACCAA
rnacentral:rRNA from 1 species